GCCAGCUAAAGGCAGGGAGAGACUGGCUAAUGAAAGUAGAUUUAGGGAAUCAGCUCAUAGUUCCUGAGAAGAUUAACACUAACCUCAAACCAGAACUUAUGUUGUGGUCAGAAGCACAGUAGACUGUAUAUUUUGUUGAGCUUUCAGUUCCUGGGAGGACGCUGUAGAUACAGCUUAUGAGAGGAAGAAACUGAAAUACAUAGAAUUAGCCAGGGAGGCAGAGGAGCAUGGCUGGAAAGUUAAAGUCUGCCUCGUGGAGGUUGGUUAUAGUAGCCAAGUCAGCUGUCUCUCUGCUUGGGCUUCAUAUGGCCGCAAUAAGCUCCACCAUAAAGGAAAAGGGCAGUCUGCAUGUAGCAUGAGAAGCAAAGCUCAGGGCAAAAAAUGUCCACAAAUCACUUGCUGCUGUCUUUAAGCUUAUUGCUGGGAGCUCAGACAACUGAGCUCUUGUGUCCUGGACCUGCACCCUCCCGCCUGCCCCUCUGGAUCCUGCACUCUGAGACAUGCAUCCCCGGAUCCUCCACUCGACAUCAGUGAGCACCAUGCCGCCGAGCUGCUGCCAACCUCCACUAAGUCCUCAGCCUUCGCCCCACGCCACGUCCUGAGCUCCUGCACUACCACCUUUCAUGUAGUCAUUAAAG